AGUCGUAACAAGGUUUCCGUAGGUGAACCUGCGGAAGGAUCAUUAAUCAAUAUAAAUAUCACCUUUUCAUUUCAGUACCGUAAGGUGCAGAAAUGAAUAGGCACACCUUUAGUGAGCUUCUAUGAAGUCCAUUAAUUCAUACUCCAUUUAUAUGUCUAAUACCUUAUCUCUUUUUGAGCCUACUUAGGUAGUGUAAAAAAAGAAAUAAUCACAACAUAUAUACAACCUUUAACGAUGGAUAUCUCGGCUCGU
rnacentral:misc_RNA from 1 species